rnacentral:lncRNA from 1 species
GCAACCAGGCACCAGCAGGAUACACGAAAGGAAUGCGAAUGGAUGGAUACCUUAGGAAGCUGGAACUGGCACUUUUCCCACGGGUACUACCCAGACCCAACAGGGAAUGAAGUCCAUGCAAGCACAGAGACAGGCAGCUUGCUUGCACACACCAGCAGAGCUCAACUACAACUUCCUAUGACCUGAGCAACCAGAUGCUGUCCCCAUUUGGAUGGAUGGAUGGAUGGAGGUGCAUCUUGUCACUGCUCCUUUUCCCACCUCCAAAAAAGAGAGGGGAGGGGAGCCAGGAUUUGAUGAUACCCUGACUUGAGCACAGCUAAGAUCUCUGUUAGAUUUUAUCUGAGACCUGUUUGGCUUUGGAAUUAAUAACUUAUGGAUUUGGUUUCUGAGUCCUUGAAGUUCACCUUCUUCCCUCUUCUGGUUCUCGGCCUCAACAAAUUCCAGUCAGUCCUCCUUUUUAGCUCCCAUGGGACUGUUUUGUACCUGCUUCUUUACUAGUCUGCCCUAGUGCCAUCCACCAGCUUCUCUCUCACACGCACACAUGCACACACACACAAUUUUAACUUGGUUUUUCUUUUUUGUAAAUAAUGUACAUACUGUCAAUUUUUUAUUAAAGAAAUAUGCUUUGAUGUGCUAGCAUAACUGCUCUAGCUUCUUGUGUACCAUAGUACCAUGUGGCUUCAGAUUUAGUACCUAUAAACAGAUGUACAAGACAUUUAUUACACUUUUUACCAAAGGGAGAUACCAUUGUAGUACUUUUGUGUAAAACUUGUCUUUCCCCCAACAACUUACUUUCUUUUUCCUUUUUUUUUUUUUAAAUGUAAAUAAAGCUUGAUUCUUAAGGAAAUAAGUAACAUAAGUCCCUUGUCCUCUCCAAAGAGCUGUUGUAAAGUUGGGACUGGCUUUAAUUUCUCCAGGUUACAAAUAGGAUUUUGCUUUAAAUAAAUAAGUACUUGUAAUUGUCAAAUUAACAUAUCAACAGUGAGGCCAGUGGGAUGGCUCCAUAGAUAAAAGUGUUUGCCACAUAAGCCUGACAAGUUUGCUCUCUGGAUCCAAUAGUGGAAGGCAAGAUCUGACUCCCAGGAGUGCUGUGCCCUGUGGCACCUGAGUGCCUGUUCUUGUGCUCACGCACAGGCACACCGCACCUAGGCUCCUAUUUCCCCUCUCAAAGUUCUAAUUUCCCUUACUGGGAAUAAGGCUACAAUUCAGGAUACCGAGCCAAAGAGUCAAGUGUAUUUGUAGAAAUUCGAAGGGAAUGAAUUUUACAUUGCUUAGCAACAUACACCAACAAAUGCUUUUAAAAUUGUAGCGUGGGCCUUUAAUCUCAGCACUCAGAAGGAAGAAACAGAUCUCUGUGAGUUCAGAGCUAGCCUGGUCUACAUAACUUCAGGAUAGCCAGGGCCACAAAAAGACCUUGUCUCAAAAAAUAAGAUUAAGAAAAUUUUUUACAUUUAUUUGUAUGUGUGCACAUAUGCAUCAACGUGCAAGUGUCAAAGUCAGAACAACUUGUAGUCAGUUCUAGGACUUGAAUUAGGUUUCAGGCUUGGCUGCAAGCGCAUUUAUUUGUGCUAGUAUCCCCAUCCAUCUCACUAGACUCCACUUCUUAAAAGUUACAUUUAAACGUGAUCCAUAACAUUGGGGUGGGGUGGGGGCUCAAAUGUGGUUGGCCUGGACUUUCUGAACAACAGACUAGCUGUCAUAGAAUUCGACAGCCAUCACCUAGCAAGUCAUAACCAGGUAUUUUAUCUUCCAUUUAAAAAUCCUCAGUCCUGGGGUCAGUGAGAUGGCUCAGCUGGGUAUGGUUCUUGCCACUAAGCCUAAAGACCUGAGUUUUGAGCCCCAGGCCCCACAUAUCCCACCCCCAGCCAGGGCUUAUACAGAGAAACCAUGUCUU